rnacentral:rRNA from 1 species
CUGUAGCAAGGUUAACCGAAUAGGGGAGCCGAAGGGAAACCGAGUCUUAACUGGGCGUUAAGUUGCAGGGUAUAGACCCGAAACCCGGUGAUCUAGCCAUGGGCAGGUUGAAGGUUGGGUAACACUAACUGGAGGACCGAACCGACUAAUGUUGAAAAAUUAGCGGAUGACUUGUGGCUGGGGGGGAAAGGCCAAUCAAACCGGGAGAUAGCUGGUUCUCCCCGAAAGCUAUUUAGGUAGCGCCUCGUGAAUUCAUCUCCGGGGGUAGAGCACUGUUUCGGCAAGGGGGUCAUCCCGACUUACCAACCCGAUGCAAACUGCGAAUACCGGAGAAUGUUAUCACGGGAGACACACGGCGGGUGCUAACGUCCGUCGUGAAGAGGGAAACAACCCAGACCGCCAGCUAAGGUCCCAAAGUCAUGGUUAAGUGGGAAACGAUGUGGGAAGGCCCAGACAGCCAGGAUGUUGGCUUAGAAGCAGCCAUCAUUUAAAGAAAGCGUAAUAGCUCACUGGUCGAGUCGGCCUGCGCGGAAGAUGUAACGGGGCUAAACCAUGCACCGAAGCUGCGGCAG